rnacentral:rRNA from 1 species
UACGUAGGUGACCAGCGUUGUCCGGAUUUACUGGGCGUAAAGAGCGCGCAGGCGGUCGUUCAAGUCGAGUGUGAAAGCCCCCGGCUCAACUGGGGAGGGUCAUUCGAUACUGUUCGACUCGAAGGCAGGAGAGGGAAGCGGAAUUCCCGGUGUAGUGGUGAAAUGCGUAGAUAUCGGGAGGAACACCAGUGGCGAAGGCGGCUUUCUGGCCUGUUCUUGACGCUGAGGCGCGAAAGCCAGGGGAGCAAACGGG